UACGUAGGGUGCGAGCGUUAAUCGGAAUUACUGGGCGUAAAGCGUGCGCAGGCGGUUCGUUGUGUCGGUGGUGAAAGCCCCGGGCUUAACCUGGGAAUGGCCAUGGAAACUGGCGAACGUGGAGUGUGGCAGAGGGGGUGGAAUUCCGCGUGUAGCAGUGAAAUGCGUAGAUAUGCGGAGGAACACCGAUGGCGAAGGCAAUCCCUGGGCCUGCACUGACGCUCAUGCACGAAAGCGUGGGGAGCAAACAGG
rnacentral:rRNA from 1 species